UACGUAGGGUGCGAGCGUUAAUCGGAAUUACUGGGCGUAAAGCGUGCGCAGGCGGUUUUGUAAGCCAGAUGUGAAAGCCCCGGGCUUAACCUGGGAAUGGCAUUUGGGACUGCAAGGCUUGAGUGCGGCAGAGGAGACUGGAAUUCCUGGUGUAGCAGUGAAAUGCGUAGAUAUCGAGAGGAACACCAGUGGCGAAGGCGAGUCCCUGGACAGGUCCUGACGCUGAGGCACGAAAGCUAGGGGAGCAAACAGG
rnacentral:rRNA from 1 species